CAGUGAUGCCGGCCUGUCCCCUACUUACCCCUUCUGGCUCUGAUUGUUCCUUCCACCACACUGUCCAAGAAGCGAGUCCAGCCCCUAGAAGCUGGAGUUACAGAAAGACUAACACAAAGAUGUACACUCAGUGCCGCUUUUCCUCAUAUUGAGGGAAGAAGACUGUGCUGUAUGGACAGCCUGAACGGUCUCUGUGAAUAACUGUGUGAACCAGAGAAUGGACAAGCUGAGGACUAGAAUAAAUUUUUGAAGAUGAAGUUCCUGGGGCACAGAGAGGCUGUCUCCCUGACAGAGGCUAGCGAGCUCCUCCCUUCCAUCCUCCAUCUGUGUGAGCCUUUCAACAGCUGCUCCCUGCAUUCAUGUCUCCAUCUCGGAGACUAAAAAAGCCUCAGAGAGUUUCUGUGAACUACUUGUAAGAAUUCAUCAAGGACCAGCAGGCAGUCCUGAAGUUCUGAUAAAUAAAGCAGGUCCAAGGGCAGU